rnacentral:rRNA from 1 species
ACGGAGGGUGCAAGCGUUAAUCGGAAUUACUGGGCGUAAAGCGCGCGUAGGUGGUUUGUUAAGCUAGAUGUGAAAGCCCCGGGCUCAACCUGGGAAUUGCAUUUAGAACUGGCAAGCUAGAGUACAGAAGAGGACAGUGGAAUUUCUAGUGUAGCGGUGAAAUGCGUAGAUAUUAGAAGGAACACCAGUGGCGAAGGCGACUGUCUGGGCUGAUACUGACACUGAGGUGCGAAAGCGUGGGUAGCAAACAGG